UACGUAGGGUGCAAGCGUUAAUCGGAAUUACUGGGCGUAAAGCGUGCGCAGGCGGUUUUGUAAGUCUGUCGUGAAAGCCCCGGGCUCAACCUGGGAAUUGCGAUGGAGACUGCAAGGCUUGAAUCUGGCAGAGGGGGGUAGAAUUCCACGUGUAGCAGUGAAAUGCGUAGAGAUGUGGAGGAACAUCGAUGGCGAAGGCAGCCCCCUGGGUCAAGAUUGACGCUCAUGCACGAAAGCGUGGGGGAGCAAACAGG
rnacentral:rRNA from 1 species